rnacentral:rRNA from 1 species
UACGUAGGGGGCAAGCGUUGUCCGGAUUUAUUGGGCGUAAAGAGCGUGUAGGCGGUUUGGUAGGUCCGCUGUGAAAACUCGAGCUCAACCUCGAGACGCCGGUGGAAACCAUCAGACUAGAGUCCGGAAGAGGAGAGUGGAAUUCCUGGUGUAGCGGUGAAAUGCGUAGAGAUCGGAAAGAACACCAACGGCGAAAGCACUCUGCUGGGCCGACACUGACACUGAGAGACGAAAGCUAGGGGGAGCGAAUGGG